AUGGCUCAGAUUGAACGCUGGCGGAAUGCUUUACCAUCCAUGUCGAACGGUAGAGGGGGCAACCCCUUGAGAGUGGCGAACGGUUGAGUAAUAUAUCGGAACGUGCCCAGUCGUGGGGGAUAACGUAGCGAAAGUUACGCUAAUACCGCAUACGAUCUAAGGAUGAAAGCGGGGGAUCGCAAGACCUCGCGCGAUUGGAGCGGCCGAUAUCAGAUUAGGUAGUUGGUGGGGUAAAGGCUCACCAAGCCAACGAUCUGUAGCUGGUCUGAGAGGACGACCAGCCACACUGGAACUGAGACACGGUCCAGACUCCUACGGGAGGCAGCAGUGGGGAAUUUUGGACAAUGGACGCAAGUCUGAUCCAGCCAUUCCGCGUGCAGGAUGAAGGCCCUCGGGUUGUAAACUGCUUUUGUACGGAACGAAAAGGUUUCUCUUAAUACGAGGAGCUCAUGACGGUACCGUAAGAAUAAGCACCGGCUAACUACGUGCCAGCAGCCGCGGUAAUACGUAGGGUGCAAGCGUUAAUCGGAAUUACUGGGCGUAAAGCGUGCGCAGGCGGUUAUAUAAGACAGAUGUGAAAUCCCCGGGCUCAACCUGGGAACUGCAUUUGUGACUGUAUAGCUAGAGUACGGUAGAGGGGGAUGGAAUUCCGCGUGUAGCAGUGAAAUGCGUAGAUAUGCGGAGGAACACCGAUGGCGAAGGCAAUCCCCUGGACCUGUACCGACGCUCAUGCACGAAAGCGUGGGGAGCAAACAGGAUUAGAUACCCUGGUAGUCCACGCCCUAAACGAUGUCAACUGGUUGUUGGGUCUUCACUGACUCAGUAACGAAGCUAACGCGUGAAGUUGACCGCCUGGGGAGUACGGCCGNCAGGGUUGAACUCAAAGGAAUUGACGGGGACCCGCACAAGCGGUGGAUGAU
rnacentral:rRNA from 1 species